rnacentral:sRNA from 1 species
AUAAAUUUUCUGUUUGUGUUCAUACAAGCGACACCAGU